UACGGAGGAUCCAAGCGUUAUCCGGAUUUAUUGGGUUUAAAGGGUGCGUAGGCGGCUUUUUUAAGUCAGGGGUGAAAGACGGUGGCUCAACCAUCGCAGUGCCUUUGAUACUGAAGAGCUCGAUUAAACUUGAGGUAGGCGGAAUGUGACAAGUAGCGGUGAAAAUGCAUAGAUAUGUCACAGAACACCGAUUGCGAAGGCAGCUUACUAAGGUUUCAAUGACGCUGAGGCACGAAAAGCGUGGGGGAUCAAACAGG
rnacentral:rRNA from 1 species